rnacentral:lncRNA from 1 species
UCAAGGCCUGUUUGUGGAGACUACUACAGCCCCAUUUCUCACUAGCCCCCAGCACCUGCCCUGUGACUUGCUUGGUGCCAGAUCCUGGGAGAUGGUGUUUCCAGAGCCUCAGAAGCCUGCCACACACUGGGACGGGAAGUCCCUGGCCCUGGGAUAAGACCAAAUUCCAGGCAUCCCAAGUUGGAAUGCUGAAAGAAAGCAUUUUUUAAAGACAAUGUUUCCCAAGGUCUCAUAUCUCUACAGGACACCCAGUUGGGUACUUUGGGUACAAUUUGAUUAAUUGCACUGCUCUAAGAAUUCCACAAUUCCACCUAGACUUGUUACUAGAGGAAGAUAUGACACAAGCUCCAAACAGGAUACCCAGCGAUAACAUUCUUGGAAAGCAAGGGAAUGAGAGCAAGAUGCAUUAUGUCACAAGGAGAAGCUCUGGGCUGGCAUGAGAGCCCACGUGGUAUCUGCACCCUCCAGUUUGCUGCUCUCAGCCUCUUGAAUUCUUCCCAGUAUCUGCUCUGAAUCCCCAGAGCUACAGCUCCUUCGAAAUGGCAUUAGUACAAUCAAUAGAAAUGAGUUGCAUGACUAUGGAAAUGAGAGUGACCUUGGGUCAUGUAGCUGAUCAUCUUGUAUCCAAGAAGUAUUUCUCUCAAGUUCUCCUAAUUACAGAUUCAGCAGCGGGUCUAUUGUGACUCCUGAUUUUAGAGUGCAUUCUACCUGACACGCAGUUUCUCUUACAGUAACCAGGUACCCAUUGUGCUGUGAUUGUGGUAGUAGCAUGGACUGGAGAAAUUUGAUGAUGUGUUGAAUGCUAGUCAU